rnacentral:rRNA from 1 species
AACGAACGCUGGCGGCAUGCCUAACACAUGCAAGUCGAACGAGACCUUCGGGUCUAGUGGCGCACGGGUGCGUAACGCGUGGGAACCUGCCCUUAGGUUCGGAAUAACUCCCCGAAAGGGGUGCUAAUACCGGAUAAUGUCUUCGGACCAAAGAUUUAUCGCCUUUGGAUGGGCCCGCGUUGGAUUAGCUAGUUGGUAGGGUAAAAGCCUACCAAGGCGACGAUCCAUAGCUGGUCUGAGAGGAUGAUCAGCCACACUGGGACUGAGACACGGCCCAGACGGGGAGGGGGGGAAGGAGGGGAGAAGAGGGGACAGGGGGCUGAGUGUUGGUGGAGCAAGGCGGGGUGAGUGGUGAAUGCAUGGGAGUGGUAGCGCUCUUUAACUCGGGAUGAUAAAGGCAGCAAGGGGAGGAUAAGCCCCGCGUCACGCCGGGCGAGCAGCGGGGGAAAUAGCCAGAAGAGCACGCGUCGAAAC